rnacentral:rRNA from 1 species
ACUGUGGGACCGCCGCUGCUAAAGCGGAGGAAGGAAUGGGCAACGGUAGGUCAGGUAUGCCCCGAAUAUCCCGGGCUACACGCGAGCUACAAUGGUUGGUACAAUGGGUAUCUACCCCGAAAGGGGACGGGAAUCUCCUAAACCAAUCUUAGUUCGGAUUGAGGCUGCAACUCGCCCUCAUGAAGCUGGAAUCCGUAGUAAUCGCGUUUCAACAGAACGCGGUGAAUACGUCCCUGCUCCUU